AGUGCAUGGGGUGGAUGCCUUGGCGAUGACAGGCGAAGAAAGACGUGGCAGCCUGCGAAAAGCUGCGGGGAGCUGGCAAACGAGCAUUGAUCCGCAGAUAUCUGAAUGGGGAAACCCAACCCGCAAGGGUUACUUUCUGCUGAAUACAUAGGCAGGAUAGAGCGAACCUCCUGAACUGAAACAUCUCAGUAGGGAGAGGAACAGAAAUCAACCGAGAUUCCGAAAGUAGUGGCGAGCGAAAUCGGAGAAGCCGUUACGAUUUAGCCAUCGAGUUAGCCGAACACUCUGGAAAGGGUGGCCGCAGCGGGUGAUAGCCCCGUAGGCGAAAACGACGUGGUGGAACUAAGCGUAAGACAAGUAGGGCGGGACACGAGAAAUCCUGUCUGAAGAUGGGGGGACCAUCCUCCAAGGCUAAAUACUCGUCAUCGACCGAUAGUGAACCAGUACCGUGAGGGAAAGGCGAAAAGAACCCCGGAAGGGGAGUGAAAUAGAGCCUGAAACCGCAUGCAUACAAACAGUGGGAGCCCCUGCUUUAAGGGUCUUUGGUGAGCGAGCAAUAGAAAAACCGAGCAGUCGUAGUGCACACAAGACAGCCCGAAGUAAGGGCGGUGCUACGAAGUAAGGGCGGUGCCAAGGGCGAUUAAAGCAGGGGUGACUGCGUACCUUUUGUAUAAUGGGUCAGCGAGUUACAUUCACUGGCGAGCUUAACCGCAUAGGGUAGGCGAAGGGAAACCGAGUCCGAACAGGGCGAAUAGAGUCGGUGGGUGUAGACCCGAAACCGGAUGAUCUACUCAUGGCCAGGCUGAAGGGUGGGUAACACCACUUGGAGGGCCGAACUCACUACUGUUGAAAAAGUAGGAGAUGAGCUGUGGGUAGGGGUGAAAGGCUAAACAAAUCCGGAAAUAGCUGGUUCUCUCCGAAAGCUAUUGAGGUAGCGCCUCGUGUGUUGACUCUCGGGGGUAGAGCACUGUUAUGGCUAGGGGGGCGUUUAGCUCUACCAAACCAUGGCAAACUCCGAAUACCGAGAAGUUAUAAGCACGGGAGACAGACGGCGGGUGCUAACGUCCGUCGUCAAGAGGGAAACAACCCAGACCGCCAGCUAAGGUCCCUAAGACACAGUUAAGUGGUAAACGAGGUGGGAAGGCAUAGACAGCCAGGAAGUUGGCUUAGAAGCAGCCAUCCUUCAAAGAAAGCGUAAUAGCUCACUGGUCGAGUCGUCCUGCGCGGAAAAUUCAGCGGGGCUCAAACUGUGCACCGAAGCUGCGGGUCGUCUGCGGUCAAACGCAAGACGGCGGUAGGAGAGCGUUCUGUAGGCCUGUGAAGGCGAGGGGGAACCCUUGCUGGAGGUAUCAGAAGUGCGAAUGCUGACAUGAGUAGCGAUAAAGGAGGUGAAAAGCCUCCUCGCCGAAAGCCCAAGGUUUCCUACGCAACGUUCAUCGGCGUAGGGUGAGUCGGCCCCUAAGGCGAGGCCAUAUGGCGUAGUUGAUGGGAAACAGGUCAAUAUUCCUGUACCGAAUCUCAAUGCGAUGGGGGGACGAAGAAGGUUACGUGAGCCGGGGGUUGGAUGUCCCGGUUUAAGCGUGUAGGCGUGCUGCAUAGGCAAAUCCGUGCGGUGUAGCCAAGGCGUGAUGAGGAGUGGGCUUAGUGCCCGCGAACUCACCGAUACCAAGCUUCCAGGAAAAGCCUCUAAGCUUCAGUUGAGAUUUGACCGUACCGUAAACCGACACAGGUGGGCGAGAAGAGAAUUCUCAGGCGCUUGAGAGAACUCAGGAGAAGGAACUCGGCAAAUUGACACCGUAACUUCGGGAGAAGGUGUGCCCCCGGUAGGUGAAGGCGAACAGCCGGAGCUGAAGGGGGUCGCAGAGAAUCGGGAGCCGCGACUGUUUAACAAAAACACAGCACUCUGCCAAGACGACAAGUCGACGUAUAGGGUGUGACGCCUGCCCGGUGCCGGAAGGUUAAGUGAUGGGGUGAGAGCUCUUGAUCGAAGCCCCGGUAAACGGCGGCCGUAACUAUAACGGUCCUAAGGUAGCGAAAUUCCUUGUCGGGUAAGUUCCGACCUGCACGAAUGGCGUAACGAUGGCUCCACUGUCUCCUCCUGAGACUCAGCGAAGUUGAAAUGGUUGUGAUGAUGCAAUCUACCCGCGGCUAGACGGAAAGACCCCGUGCACCUUUACUGUAGCUUUGCAUUGGACUGUGAUGAAAUCUGUGUAGGAUAGCUGGGAGGCGUUGAGAGCGGGCCGCUAGGUUCGCUGGAGCCAACCUUGAAAUACCAGCCUGGUGUCAUUGCGGUUCUAACCUUGCCCCCUGGAUCGGGGGUGGGGACCGUGCAUGGUAGGCAGUUUGACUGGGGCGGUCUCCUCCCAAAGAGUAACGGAGGAGCACGAAGGUUCGCUAGGUACGGUCGGAAAUCGUACGCGCGUCGUGUAAUGGCACAAGCGAGCUUAACUGCGAGACGGACAGGUCGAGCAGGUGCGAAAGCAGGUCAUAGUGAUCCGGUGGUUCUGUAUGGAAGGGCCAUCGCUCAACGGAUAAAAGGUACGCCGGGGAUAACAGGCUGAUGACCCCCAAGAGUUCACAUCGACGGGGUCGUUUGGCACCUCGAUGUCGGCUCAUCACAUCCUGGGGCUGUAGCCGGUCCCAAGGGUAUGGCUGUUCGCCAUUUAAAGUGGUACGUGAGCUGGGUUCAAAACGUCGUGAGACAGUUUGGUCCCUAUCUACCGUGGGCGCUGGAGGUUUGAGGGGGGCUGCUCCUAGUACGAGAGGACCGGAGUGGACGCACCGCUGGUGUACCGGUUGUGAUGCCAAUCGCAUUGCCGGGUAGCUAUGUGCGGAAGAGAUAACCGCUGAAAGCAUCUAAGCGGGAAACUUGCCCCAAGAUGAGACCUCCCGGACCGUAAGGUCCCUGAAGGAUCGCGGAAGACCACCGCGUUGA
rnacentral:rRNA from 1 species